rnacentral:tRNA from 1 species
GCACCGGUGGUCUAGUGGGAGCGAAGUAUCCUGCCACGGUACAGACCCGGGAUUGAUCCCCGGCCGGUGCA